rnacentral:tRNA from 1 species
CCUCAGGUGAUUCACAGGUAAAGUGUCUGCCUGUAAUGCAGGAAACCUGGGUUCAAUUCCUGGGUUGGGAA